rnacentral:rRNA from 1 species
GGGCCCGCACAAGCGGUGGAGUAUGUGGUUUAAUUCGAUGCAACGCGAAGAACCUUACCAGGGUUUGACAUCCUGCGAAUCUCUUGGAAACGAGAGAGUGCCUUCGGGAGCGCAGUGACAGGUGGUGCAUGGCUGUCGUCAGCUCGUGUCGUGAGAUGUUCCGUUAAGUCGGAUAACGAGCGCAACCCUUACCCUUAUUUUGCCAGCGGUUCGGCCGGGAACUAUAAGGGGACUGCCGGUGAUAAACCGGAGGAAGGUGAGGACGACGUCAAGUCAUCAUGGCCCUUACGAGUAGGGCUACACACGUGCUACAAUGGGAAGUACAGAGGGACGCCAAAGCGCGAGCUGGAGCU